rnacentral:rRNA from 1 species
CUUUAGGUGGGUCAAGGGAGCGUAGCUCCUUGUCGUAAAGAUGAGCUUUGCUCAUCUGCGAAAUUAAUAUGGAGAGUUUGAUCCUGGCUCAGAGUGAACGCUGGCGGCGUGCCUAAUACAUGCAAGUCGAACGGAGAUUAAGUAGCUUGCUAUUUAAUCUUAGUGGCGCACGGGUGAGUAAUGUAUAGCUAAUCUGCCCUAUGCAGGAGGACAACAGUUAGAAAUGACUGCUAAUACUCCAUACUCCUUCUUAACAUAAGUUAAGUCGGGAAAGUUUUUCGGCAUAGGAUGAGGCUAUAUUGUAUCAGCUAGUUGGUGAGGUAAUGGCUCACCAAGGCUAUGACGCAUAACUGGUCUGAGAGGAUGAUCAGUCACACUGGAACUGAGACACGGUCCAGACUCCUACGGGAGGCAGCAGUAGGGAAUAUUGCUCAAUGGGGGAAACCCUGAAGCAGCAACGCCGCGUGGAGGAUGACACUUUUCGGAGCGUAAACUCCUUUUGUUAGGGAAGAACCAUGACGGUACCUAACGAAUAAGCACCGGCUAACUCCGUGCCAGCAGCCGCGGUAAUACGGGGGGUGCAAGCGUUACUCGGAAUCACUGGGCGUAAAGGACGCGUAGGCGGAUUAUCAAGUCUCUUGUGAAAUCCUAUGGCUUAACCAUAGAACUGCUUGGGAAACUGAUAAUCUAGAGUGAGGGAGAGGCAGAUGGAAUUGGUGGUGUAGGGGUAAAAUCCGUAGAGAUCACCAGGAAUACCCAUUGCGAAGGCGAUCUGCUGGAACUCAACUGACGCUAAGGCGUGAAAGCGUGGGGAGCAAACAGGAUUAGAUACCCUGGUAGUCCACGCCCUAAACGAUGUAUACUAGUUGUUGCUAAGCUAGUCUUGGCAGUAAUGCACCUAACGGAUUAAGUAUACCGCCUGGGGAGUACGGUCGCAAGAUUAAAACUCAAAGGAAUAGACGGGGACCCGCACAAGCGGUGGAGCAUGUGGUUUAAUUCGAAGAUACGCGAAGAACCUUACCCGGACUUGAUAUCCAACGAAUUCUGUAGAGAUACGGAAGUGCUAGCUUGCUAGAAUGUUGAGACAGGUGCUGCACGGCUGUCGUCAGCUCGUGUCGUGAGAUGUUGGGUUAAGUCCCGCAACGAGCGCAACCCACGUAUUUAGUUGCUAACGGUUAGGCCGAGCACUCUAAAUAGACUGCCUUCGCAAGGAGGAGGAAGGUGUGGACGACGUCAAGUCAUCAUGGCCCUUAUGUCCGGGGCGACACACGUGCUACAAUGGCAUAUACAAUGAGACGCAAUAUCGCGAGAUGGAGCAAAUCUAUAAAAUAUGUCCCAGUUCGGAUUGGAGUCUGCAACUCGACUCCAUGAAGCCGGAAUCGCUAGUAAUCGUAGAUCAGCCAUGCUACGGUGAAUACGUUCCCGGGUCUUGUACUCACCGCCCGUCACACCAUGGGAGUUGAUUUCACUCGAAGUCGGAAUGCUAAACUAGCUACCGCCCACAGUGGAAUCAGCGACUGGGGUGAAGUCGUAACAAGGUAACCGUAGGAGAACCUGCGGUUGGAUCACCUCCUUUCUA